CAAAAUGUAGCUUAACCAAAGCAUUUCGCUUACACCGAAACCAUGUCCGUGAAACUCUGAUCAUUUUGAG
rnacentral:tRNA from 1 species